ensembl:lncRNA
GGAUAUCAGCUCGUCUCACAGCUGCUAUCCAGGCUAGACGCCUUCGUUUGGUAACACACGAGCUGCGUCAUGUUGCUUCCAGGUUGGGAAAGAAUGAAAAGACAAACCCUUUUCAAGCUUAUUCUCUUGCCGGUCGUGCGAUCGAACAUUGCAGCUGACCACACAGCAAGAACGAACCAUGGCUAUGCUUUCGCUCCUUUUUCACUUAGACCCCCAAAAUGGCGGAUCGGGCCAAAAUCCUUUCCACGCCCACCCCCGUGACAUCACGCUCCAAAGCCCUAUUAGGCUAAUCGUUGUGUCACUUCCGGUAUUUCAGACAAUCCCUUUCCGUCAAGGAUUUUUAAUUUGUUGUGGGCUUUUUGUAUUUUGUUGUGGGCUUUCUUAUAAUUUGUUGUGGGCUUUUUGUAAUUUGUUGUGGGCUUUUUGUAUUUUGUUGUGGGCUUUUUGUAUUUUGUUGUGGGCUUUUUGUAUUUUGUUGUGGGCUUUUUGUAAUUUGUUGUGGGCUUUUUGUAAUUUGUUGUGGGCUUUUUGUAAUUUGUUGUGGGCUUUUUGUAUUUUGUUGUGGGCUUUUUGUAAUUUGUUGUGGGCUUUUUGUAUUUUGUUGUGGGCUUUUUGUAUUUUGUUGUGGGCUUUUUGUAAUUUGUUGUGGGCUUUUUGUAUUUUGUUGUGGGCUUUUUGUAUUUUGUUGUGGGUUUUUUGUAAUUUGUUGUGGGGUUUUUGUAUUUUGUUGUGGGCUUUUUGUAAUUUGUUGUGGGGUUUUUGUAUUUUGUUGUGGGCUUUUUGUAAUUUGUUGUGGGCUUUUUGUAUUUUGUUGUGGGCUUUUUGUAAUUUGUUGUGGGCUUUUUGUAUUUUGUUGUGGGCUUUUUGUAAUUUGUUGUGGGGGUUUUGUAUUUUGUUGUGGGUUUUUUGUAAUUUGUUGUGGGCUUUUUGUAUUUUGUUGUGGGCUUUUUGUAUUUUGUUGUGGGCUUUUUGUAAUUUGUUGUGGGCUUUUUGUAAUUUGUUGUGGGCUUUUUGUAUUUUGUUGUGGGCUUUUUGUAUUUUUUUGUGGGCUUUUUGUAUUUUGUUGUGGGCUUUUUGUAAUUUGUUGUGGGCUUUUUGUAUUUUGUUGUGGGCUUUUUGUAAUUUGUUGUGGUUUUUUUUUAAAUUUGUUGCGGUUUUUUAAUUUGUUGCGAUUUGCACUUCCCAGCCACCGUACCUUUCUAAUGUGACGUUGUUGUCCCUGGUUCUUUCUCUGUCUCUUCCUCCGGCUCUGUUCCUGUGCUACUGAGUGCAAUUACCCCCCCCCAAGCGUAAAGCACAAGCAGUGUUGCCAACUCCUCAGUAAGGAAAAUCGCUAUUGGCUUUCCUAAAAGUCGCUAGAAGUCGCUAAAUGACGUCAUCGCCUAAUUUGCAUAAUUGGUCAUGCUAAUCUAAUUGUAACCUAUGUUGUUGGAGAGAGAAAUAACAUCGUGGAAGAGACAUAAAGUGAGUAAAAAACGUCCUAAAUGCAUUUAGAGUUUAUUUAGAACUACAAAUUAUAUUUCUUUUAGCAAUUAUUGUUUUUUUUAAUGUCACAAUUCCAACCCUGCUCCUUUACCCGGGCUUGGAUAUAAAUAUAAAUAUAGCGACAAAGUCGCUAAGUUGGCAACAUUGAGCACAAGGCUUGCCUGCGGAGUGAAGCAGCGAGAGAGAGGGUUGUGGCGGACCACCAGGUGGCUCCACUCACACCCAAGUUGAAGGGAAGUGCUGGGGUGGAGAUUUUGGCGCUUACUAUAUGUGAAGUUCUGAGAGUCAGUUAAUAAAGUUGGAGUGAGACACUGAGACCUCUCCUGUCGUUAUUACAUACCUCCACAGGGUGAGAGAAAAAAGAAAAAACACAGCUCACGAUAAGGAGCUGGCUCACGUCGUUCACGUCAAAGAUCCGGCUCUAAGAGCCAUUUCGUUUGCGACCGACACAUCACUAGUACUUAUGACUAAAUAAUACAGAAUUAGAACAUAAAUAAACUCUUAAAUCCUUAGAUUUACACAUAUAACAACAAAUGAGAGGUUGGUGGGUUGAAAAGGCCAGAGAAUAAAAGUGAAAUUUGAGCCCAGACUUAAAAGCAGAGAUGGAAGAUGCUCUUUUUAUAUCCGGCAGUAGCGGAUUCCACAAUCGUGAAGCAGUGACUGCAGACGCUCUGUCACCAUUUUGCUUAAGGUGUGAUCUUGGAACAUGUAAGAGAUCUUUACCAGUGCAUCUGAGAGAGCAAAUAAUACUAGUAAUAUAAGCUGGAGGCUGCACAUUAACAGCCUUAAAAACAAUGAGUAAAAUCUUACACUGAAUCCAAAAAAA